UUUCAGGCAGGACAGCAGUUCCCUCUCCGUGAUUUAGGAACUCUGCAGGACCACCAUGCCAUGGACCUGCCCCUCUGUCAUUAAAUCCCACCAACUGUCUUCCAGGAUGACAAUCACCAGAAGACUAUGUAGCUAUUAUUGUGUUUUGACCCACAGUUGAGAACAUUUCUUCAAGCUGAGAAGGCAGACGCAAAUCACUUACCUUUUUCUUUUUUCCUGUAGAUGCAGGCUGGAGACCCUCCCUGCUGCACGGCCACCGCAGCACACGCCGCAUUGUGAUUAGAGACUCCUGGAACAACAAUCAUUCAGCGCCACCCUCGCUGCCAAUGUUAGGGGGUGAUAACAGCAAGGCUUUUUCCCUCUGCAAAUGUAUGUGACUUUGCUGAGUUAAUGAAAACAUGGAAGAGGAGGACCAGCAGUAGACAGAGGUAGGUAAACGAUUGCUAACCAUUGAACCUAAAUUACUUUCUAAAUUAUAUUUUUGACAGUGUUCACACUUAGUAGUAUUUGGAAGGAGU